GCUGAACUUGGAACAUACUUGAAGGUGCAUGAAGGUGAAAGUGAUAAGGUGUUUCACAUGUGAUUGUAUUUUCCGUACUAUCAAAGAGAAAUCAGAUGCCAAGCGGAUCAAUUAACGGACAUGGUCGGGAUGAAGACAGCAGUGGACCUGUGGCAAUUGUUGCCUUCGGCAACGCAUUAUUAGACAUGUCCAUAUCUGUCAAAGACGAUUCUCUGAUACACAAAUACGGAUUGCCCUGUGAUGCUCAGAUCGAGGUAACCAACGAACAACAAGGAUUGUUCUCCGAAGUAAUUCAAAAUUACCCAGUUGAGUACGUGGCCGGCGGUAGCGCUCAAAACACGGUCCGAAUCCUUAGCAGAUUAAUCAAAAACCAAUGGCCGUCUUACGUGAUAGGCAAAAUCGCCCACGAUCCGGCUGGCAUCAUCCUUCAAAAGUUAUUAGCUCAGGAUGGCGUAAUAACUCGAUACGUCUUCGACGAAAAGUUGCCGACGGGCUGUUGCGUGGCCAUUGUCCGUCCUGGCGGCACGCGCUGUCUGGCCGCAAACAUCGGCGCAGCCCGUGAGUUCAACAAGGAGAAUUUCGUUGCCGACAUGAUGGACUUGAUAGAUCGGGCCCGAAUUCUCUACGUCGAAGGAUUCUUCGCUAGCCACAGCCCGGACGUUGCCAUGGCCGCGUUAAGCCGCGGCCAUUCUCGAGAAGGUCUGGUCCGAGUCGUCAGCCUUUCAGCUCAAUACAUUUGCCUCCAGUCUCACAGUCUAUUAAGGCGGCUCCUAUCCUACGCCAAUCUUGUCGUUGGUAACGAAGACGAAUUCCGUGCCUUGGCCGGCCGCGCUGGCCUCCUGCUUAGCUCCGAAUGCGAAUCCAUAGCCUCCGUCGCCCGCAAAGUUGCCGCUUUGGACUAUAUCUCACCUGUGAAUCAAUUCAAGUCUUGUCGCCUUUCGGAUUUUCAAGGGUCGACGGAGGCGUGGGAUUGGUCGAAACUGAACGAGAGAUUGGCCGUGGUGACUUGCGGCGCUUCGGGAGUGGUUUGCGCUACGCGGUCCGAGUCGUGGCUAUUCCCGGCCGAGAAGCUUCAACCGCAUCUGGUGAAGGACACGACAGGAGCCGGCGAUGCUUUCCUGGCCGGUUUCUUUUCCCAGCUCCUCGUUGGCCGACCGCUGGACGUUUGCGUCGCCACGGGUCAGCAAACGGCCCGGAUCGUCAUCACUCAAACUGGUUGCCGCCUCCCCGUUUGAUCUCUUUUAUCGAACAAGAAAAACAAAAAGACAAUCGCACGACAUUUUUCGACAGAUGGAAGAGAAAUAGAUCUAUUGAUUACAGAGA
rnacentral:misc_RNA from 1 species